rnacentral:rRNA from 1 species
AAAGUCGGGGCUAAUACUGGAUAUGACCUUCGGCCCGCAGUGGGUUGUGGUGGAAAGUUUUUCGGUGGGGGAUGGGCUCGCGGCCUAUCAGUUUGUUGGUGAGGUAGUGGCUCACCAAGGCGAUGACGGGUAGCCGGCCUGAGAGGGCGACCGGCCACACUGGGACUGAGACACGGCCCAG